AUUAAGUAUGAUGUGAUUUAAUACCGCCCCAGUCUGAAUUUCUCUGACUGAUUGGUUUUACUGACUUAAA
rfam:Oryctes borbonicus contig17719, whole genome shotgun sequence.